rnacentral:rRNA from 1 species
CACGUAGGGAGCAAGCGUUGUCCGGAUUUAUUGGGCGUAAAGAGCUCGUAGGCUGUUCGAUAAGUCGGGUGUGAAACCUCCAGGCUCAACCUGGAGACGCCACCCGAUACUGUCAUGACUAGAGUCCGGUAGGGGAGCGUGGAAUUCCUGGUGUAGCGGUGAAAUGCGCAGAUAUCAGGAGGAACACCGGUGGCGAAGGCGGAUCUCUGGGCCUUACCUGACGCUGAGGAGCGAAAGCGUGGGGAGCGAACAGG